rnacentral:rRNA from 1 species
CCAGACUCCUACGGGAGGCAGCAGUGAGGAAUAUUGGGCAAUGGAGGCAACUCUGACCCAGCCAUGCCGCGUGAGUGAAGAAGGUUUUCGGAUUGUAAAGCUCUUUCGGAUGUGACGAUGAUGACGGUAGCAUCUAAAGAAGCCCCGGCUAACUUCGUGCCAGCAGCCGCGGUAAUACGAAGGGGGCAAGCGUUGUUCGGAAUUACUGGGCGUAAAGGGAGUGUAGGCGGUUUAGUAAGAUAGUGGUGAAAUCCCAGGGCUUAACUUUGGAAUUGCCAUUAUAACUAUUAGACUAGAAUUACAGAGAGGAUAGUGGAAUACCCAGUGUAGAGGUGAAAUUCGUAGAUAUUGGGUAGAACACCAGUGGCGAAGGCGACUAUCUGGCUGUACAUUGACGCUGAGGCUCGAAAGCAUGGGGAUCAAACAGGAUUAGAUACCCCAGUA